rnacentral:lncRNA from 1 species
CAUGCCUCUUGCAAAGGAUCUCCUUCAUCCCUCUCCAGAAGAGGAGAAGAGGAAACACAAGAAGAAAUGCCUGGUUCAGAGCCCCAAUUCCUACUUCAUGGAUGUGGAAUGCCCAGGAUGCUAUAAAAUCACCAUGGUCUUUAGCCAUGCACAAACUGUAGUUUUGUGUGUUGGCUGCUCCACUGUCCUCUGCCAGCCUACAGGAGGAAAAGCAAGGCUUACAAGAAGGAUGUUCCUUCAGAUGAAAGCAGCACU